rnacentral:rRNA from 1 species
UACAGAGACUGCAAGCGUUAUUCGGAUUCACUGGGCGUAAAGGGUGCGCAGGCGGUUGGGUGUGUCAGAUGUGAAAUCCCGAGGCUUAACCUCGGAACUGCGUCUGAAACUACUCGACUAGAGUACUGGAGAGGGAAACGGAAUUCACGGUGUAGCAGUGAAAUGCGUAGAUAUCGAUGAGGAACACCAGAGGCGAAGGCGGUUCCUGGACAGUUACUGACGCUCAGGCACGAAAGCGUGGGGAGCAA